UAGUAUCUCUCACGAGUGAUGGGGCAAAACCAAACCGGCGAUUCUAUCGCAUGUGCCAGGAUUCGCAGAAAAGAGUCGGCGUACCACACAAGACCGACCACCAACCCAUACAGAGUUGACUCAGAGCUUUUCUUUUUCUGCGAUGCACCUCACCUUCUGAAGACAGCUAGAAACUGCUUCAGUAAUUCGUUUUCACACUCAAAAAGCCGGGCAAUGCAGAAAUGUGGGCAGACGAUCAGCUGGAAGUGGAUCGAGAGCCUAUACCUAAUGGAGACUACAACCAGUACACCAGGGGUUCGAUUGUGCCACAAAUUGUCAAGGAAUCAUGUGUGGUUGAACUCAUUCACACGAAUGAGAGUGCACCUAGCAGCCCAGGUUAUGAGUGAAAGUGUUGCAUGUGCGCUGCAAAUGAUUAACAGUGAUGGUACGCAGCAAACCCGGCUGUUCAUCAGGAUGAUCGAUAAGUUCUUCGACCUCCUGAAUGUUAAAGGACCACUAAUAGGCAAGCUAAAGCAAAAAGAGAAU